UCGCAGUUUCCUCGUGAGUUCAGACUUAACGCCUGAUUGGUCAAUCCGCGGACAUGACCACGAGCUCUGCUGGUUAAUGCUUCUGUCAAUCUCUCGCGUUGCAUGGCAGUGAGCAAAAUAGAAACUUACGGCCCUGUAACCAAGAGAUUUCACGAGAAAUGACGUCUCGAAAGUGACCAAGUCAAAGAGGAGCAUGUGACUCACAACAAACCUCAAAACAGGUUGUGUCUUCGUAGAAUCAUCUGAGAAGAGGGCGUUUUUUAUUGUAUUCCCACGUUCGCCGCUUUAUUCUUUUAUGCAAACACAAUGAAAAUGAAAAAAGUACCUUUACGUUUAUUGGAGUAAAAUUUCAAACGCAUGACGUUUUAUCCUUCACACUACUACUAAUAAUAAGACUAAGAAGAAGAGUAGUUGGUGAUUUUGACCACCAGUGAACUAAAAAGUUGACACACAUGGAAAGUCUCCAGCCCUUUGUGCAUAUUUCUACUACAGCAGCUGCUCCCCAGAGGUGGCGUGUAACGAAGUACAAGUACUUCGAAGUACAAGUACUUUGUUGCUGUACUUAACAAGAAUUUAGAAAAAUCAGCAUACACAGACUAUUUGUCAUUUUGUGUGCAGUUUGUCACACAGUGUGUUGCUAACUAAAGGCCCAGUGGAGAUGAAGAAGAGAGGUUAUAUUUAAAGUGAUUCACCGUUCAGUGAAGUGAUGGAGAGAACACAUUUUUCACUGGUUGCAUUGAGUAUCUUCAUCUUACUUACUGUGAGGUGUUGGUGUGAGGAAGAGGCCUACAGUCCACUGACAGAGGCUGGAUCAGACAGUGAUUUGAAGAGAUUUGAUGACAUUGGUUAUGACAGCUUUCUGGGUCUGAUGGGACGGAGAAAUACUGCUCCGACAAACAGGCACACUGAUCACAGCCUUGCUGAUCUGUUGGGGUGGAGAACAAGUAUGACUAGUCUGCGUGGACACAGGUAUGCACAGAAGAGAGGAGGCGGUUUCACUGAUCAUUGAAGGCUGAGGAUGGACUGCUUUGUUUAAUGGAGACAUGACACAUGCUCAACCCUCAUGGUGAAACUUCGGCUCUUCCAUCGUGCUGUAAACCCUCAGGGCUAUUGUACCUGCGGACAAUGUCCAUCCACCCAUCAAAUAUUAUUCACAGUCAUAGUAACCCUGCAUGAAUGUUCCUCUGCUGUGAUGAGAAAAAUGCUCUGACAUUAUGCAAAUACAUGUGAACAAAAACAACAUAUACAAUAAAAUAUGCAUUUAUUUAUAGUGAUUAAAUUACCAUUUCACUAAAAACAGUCCUGCACACCGAUUACAUUACGUGUGCUCACACAUUAAAAUGAACUCAUAUCCACACUGAAGUGUAUCGACUCAAUUAAGAUUUCAAUUCCAACAUAAACACAUUUCAAAUAUAAAUAUAGCACUGUACACCAUUCCCUUUAAGAAAACUCUGAAAUGAGAAGAUUGUCAAGGACUGCCCCAUUGGAAAUGAUGCGGCUGAUAUCAAAUGUGAGCGUGAGCAGCCAAAAGAAAGAUGAGAAGAAAAAAAAAAUUGUAAAAAACAAAACAAAACAACAUGCUCUGGUGAACAUGCAUGUAUUCAUGCGCAUACUACAGAAACCAAGUGUAAACACAAAGUUUCAUUUGAAAAUAGUAACCUCGUACAUUUUUAACCUUGAAGAAAACGUCGUCAAAAAAAAA